rnacentral:rRNA from 1 species
CACGAAGGGGGCUAGCGUUGUUCGGAUUUACUGGGCGUAAAGCGCACGUAGGCGGAUCGUUAAGUCGGGGGUGAAAUCCUGGAGCUCAACUCCAGAACUGCCUUCGAUACUGGCGAUCUUGAGUCCGGAAGAGGUGAGUGGAACUCCUAGUGUAGAGGUGGAAUUCGUAGAUAUUAGGAAGAACACCAGUGGCGAAGGCGGCUCACUGGUCCGGUACUGACGCUGAGGUGCGAAAGCGUGGGGAGCAAACAGG